GGGGUUGUGGCUCAGUCGUGGAGCGCUCGCCUAGUGUGUGUGGGGCCCUGGGUUCAAUCCUCAGCACCACA
rnacentral:tRNA from 1 species